rnacentral:tRNA from 1 species
GUGCCUGUAGCUCAGCCGGAUAGAGCGCUGGCCUCCGGAGCCAGGUGCGCGGGUUCGAAUCCCGCCAGGCACU